CCCAACCUACGAAGUUCCCUGACGGCAGGAUCCGCGUCCCAGCACUAGGCCACAAAACCUGGCAGGACUCGGUAUAUAUACAUUUAGUGAAAACAUUAACUGAAGUGCCACCACGCCUCGUCUUAGAACUCUGGGUGGCAGAAAGAGACGUUCUGUCUUCUCUGGUGCAGCCUCCGUCCUAAAACACCCAUGUGCACAGACGGCGGGGGGCUUCUUUUUUUCAGCCUCACUCCCACCUGAAGGGCUAGAGGAGAAUUUCGAAGAGCACGACAGAAAAGGCCUAGACUGCCUCCAAGAGCCCGUGAGAAGAAACACGGACUUGGAGAGCACGGCUGGUGCCGGCUCCAAAGGAAGGGAGGACCUCGCGUUGCUGGGGGUGGAGGAAAGGGACCCUGUCACUUGGCAGGACAUCGCGAUGGGAUCCUGCGGUUCUGUGGGAAGGACUUGCAACGACCGAUGCCCUCGGAUAUUCAACUGAAGGAAAGCCAAGCAAAGUCUUGAAGGUGCUGUCUGGUUUCUCCCUGGUGCUCACAGCAAAACGAGAGAGACAACCUAGUGUGAGAAUUGCGAACAAAGACUCAAUUCUCAGCCUCUCCAGAUGGCAGAAGGUGCUGAAAUCCAGAAACGGCCGCAGAAUGGGGGGUACAGGGAAAAGGAAGCCACACGACCUACUGCUGAAGCCCAGGAAAGCCCUAAAGGCCAAAACGUUCAGUCACAAGAGAGGGAGGCGUGCCUCACGGAUCUUCCCCGAUGCCCAGGCCAGGGACUCGGCUGCAAGGGACAGAGGGUACAGCGAAAGGAGAUGACAGAACCCAAUGUGCUGCUGGCUGAAGGAGGCUGGAAAAUGGCCCAGCUGCGAACACCUUUCAUGAAAAAGGGAGGAAAAUCCAGGCAAGCACCCUCCCAGGGCUGGGGCGUCGGCCCCCUUCCUCCUCACGUCCCCUUGGGAAACCAGACCUGUUUCCUAUGCUGUCCCACACUGUGUGCUGGGAGAGCUGGGGCCACAGACAAGUGGUGUCCAGGAGCCUAAGAAGCCUUGUCCACACCUGAUUUUGCAUAUGAGAAGGAUGUGAGUUUUCGGAGCCAGAGGGCAGACUGGUAGGCAAAAUCCUACAUUAAACCCUGUGAAUUUCCCGCCGAUCCCCUGGGACUGUGAUAUGAUGGGGCAUAAAGACUCUGACAGAUGUCCCAAAAGUUUCUGAUCGAUUGACUUUAAAAUAAGGAGAUAAUCCUGGAUUAUCUGGAUGAGUCUAUUCCAAUCACAGCCCUUAAAAGCAGAACAGGAAAUCGCAGAGACUGUGCAGACUUCAAAGGCGGAAGGGCCUCCAGGAGCAGGGAGGGGUCCCAGCGUACAGCCAGCAAGGAGUCAGAGACCUCGGACCCGUGAGCACCAGGAACUGCAUUCAGCCAACAACCCAAGUGAGCCAAGUGGCUUCUCCCCAGGCUGACGGUCCAGAGCUACUACACAGGGAGAUGAUUCAGCACGUUCGGGCUCCUGACAACUGGCUGCUCACACCUCGCUUUACCAUUUUCACAACAGCAAGUGACGAGAGUCCCACAGAAAACGUCCACAGUGCAAGACGGCGCAGGGCUGAGGUCUGACCAACAGAAGGCAUUAAAUAUGGACAUGUCCCACAAAGAGCCUGGCUGCGAAAGGAGGGAAGUUACUGAGGGACCCAGGCAUGGAGCUGGGGCCCCUCCGGCCACCCCCCAAUUCCCUCUUUCCUGGUGACAGAGACAAGGCAGCUGUGGAACCGAGUGUGCCACACACCGCGUGUCCAGAUGGCCUCUGUGGCAAGUGUUCUUUUCAUGCUGCCGCGGCCCUCAGACAGCAGGGCCGGAGCACAGCACACGCCUCUGCAGAGCUUUCCGGCAAAAGGGACCCUGUGCAUCCGUAGGUGCUGCCUACCCCUACGUUUCACUCUAUCAUUAUUCCGUUAUUACUUUCCAUGUAAUACAACAGAGCUAUCACAACUUACACUGACAGAUGUUAACCUCACAGUAAAACCAAACAAACACGUCCACUUGUCCCCUAAAGCGUAAACUGCCAAUGCAGUGAGAGCCCAAGAUGCCUUUCGGAUUCAACGUGAAUUAUUUAGCCAGUUGGCUCCAGUUCCUAGAACCUCCACAUCUCCCAAGUUAAAGCAGAAACUGACACAAGAAACCACGUCCUCUUAAAGUGAUCAAAAUAUACCACCUGUUUCAUACAUGAAGAUAUUCAAUUACCCAAACUCAACGAUAUAAUCUUCACUAUAAACGUUGGUUUUUACAGCGAGACUUUGAGAGCAGGCCCUACUUCCCUUUGCCUUCAAUGAGGAGGAAGAAAACGGUAGCUCGUUCAGAAGUAAAACAACUAACGACAGCACAGUACUUAAUUCUUCUCUUCCCCUCUAUGUACAGUACACGAUGGUUCUCCAGAUAAAUCUAAGGCUUCCCGAGGCUAGGAACCACGUCUGUUCUCUUUACUGAUGUGUCCUCAGAGCCAAGCAGUACCUGACUCAUACACGGGACCAGUAAAUGUUUAUCGAGUGAAUUUGAACAAUAAGCUUGUAUUCUGAAAUACAAGAAACACAUUAAUGUCACUAAAAAUGUGUUUUGGGACAGUGUGAGCUUAAUCACGUAAUGCUGAGUUCAAACAGACCUGCCCUCAGGGUUGGUGGGGUGCCACUUCUGUCUGACGGGAGGCUCUCAAGCCCCUGCAGCUCAAACACCUGCAGAAAGCAAGGGGCUGCUCACCCAUCUGGGCGGCCAGAUGAGAACCGCACGCGGCACCAAGGGGCCUUCCUAGAAACCUGUACAACCUACCCAGUCUUUCCCCUGGAAAAGCUACCAUUUAUCCAAGCUGCUCCUAAUGCGGGUUACAUGAAUUGUCGUGAUGCUUUCCACAUGGUCUGAACGUUUCACACCCACUGAGGAACCUACAGUUAACUAAAACUCUGUAUGUUUUAUAAAAGUGAAAUGAAGCUAGGAGUCCACUGUAUUUUCUCCAUUUAAAAAAAUGUUCAGGGGCGCCUGGGUGGCUCAGUCGGUUAAGCGUCCGACUUCGG